GCUAUUGGAGUUCGAUUAAGCCAUGCGAGUCGAGAGUCCUCGGGACUCGGCGUACCGCUCCGUAACACGUGGGUAACCUGCCCUAUGCUGGGGAAUAACCUCGGGAAACUGAGAAUAAUGCCCCAUAGCCCACUACGCCUGGAACGGUGAGUGGGUCAAAGCUCCGGCGGCAUAGGAUGGGCCUGCGCCGUAUCAGGUUGUAGGGGGUGUAAAGUACCCUCUAGCCAUCAACGCGUACGGGUGUUGGGAGACAUUGCCCGGAGAUGGAUCUGAGACACGAAUCCAGACCCUACGGGGUGCAGCAGGCGCGAAAACUUGGCAAUGCGAGCAAUCGUGACCAGGGAACUCCAAGUGCGUAGGGUAAGACCUACGCUUUUCUUGACUCUUCAAAGGUCUUGGAAUAAGGGGUGGGUAAGGACGGUGCCAGCCGCCGCGGUAAUACCGGCGCCUCAAGUGGUAGUCGCUUUUAUUGGGCCUAAAACGUCCGUAGCCGGUCUGGUGCAUUCGUGGGUAAAUCAACCCGCUCAACGGGUUGAAUUCUGCGAGCACGGCCAGACUUGGGACCGGGAGAGGUGUGGGGUACUCUCAGGGUAGGGGUAAAAUCCUGUCAUCCCGAGAGGACCACCUGUUGCGAAGGCGCCACACUAGAACGGAUCCGACGGUCAGGGACGAAACCUAGGGGCACGAACCGGAUUAGAUACCCGGGUAGUCCUAGGUGUAAACGCUGUGGACUUGAUGUUGGGGGCGCUCCGAGCGCUCUCAGUGUCGAAGCGAAGGUGAUAAGUCCACUGCCUGGGGAGUACGGUCGCAAGGCUGAACUUAAAGGAAUUGGCGGGGGAGCACUGC
rnacentral:rRNA from 1 species